AUCCUUUUGUAGUUCAUGAGGAUGAUGAUUGGGUUUUCAUGCACGUGUGUGAGAUAUGCUACCCUGGAACCUUGUUAUGACAUCUGCACAUUACCCAUCUGACC
ensembl:snoRNA